GACGAACGCUGGCGGCGUGCUUAACACAUGCAAGUCGAACGGAAAGGCCCUGCUUUUGUGGGGUGCUCGAGUGGCGAACGGGUGAGUAACACGUGAGUAACCUGCCCUUGACUUUGGGAUAACUUCAGGAAACUGGGGCUAAUACCGGAUAGGAGCUCCUGCUGCAUGGUGGGGGUUGGAAAGUUUCGGCGGUUGGGGAUGGACUCGCGGCUUAUCAGCUUGUUGGUGGGGUAGUGGCUUACCAAGGCUUUGACGGGUAGCCGGCCUGAGAGGGUGACCGGCGACAUUGGUACUGAGAUACGGCGCAGACUGCUACGGGAGGCAGCAGUGGGGAGUAUUGCACAAUGGGCGGAAGCCUGAUGCAGCAACGCCGCGUGCGGGAUGACGGCCUUCGGGUUAUAAACCGCUUUCGCCUGUGACGAAGCGUGAGUGACGGUAAUGGGUAAAGAAGCACCGGCUAACUACGUG
rnacentral:rRNA from 1 species